GCCAUCUAUCAUUAAUUUUUCUAGUUAUUUCAUGUCAACAUCAUGUAAAAUUGUUAGGUUAUGUUGGAUAAAAACAAUAAUUUAAAAUGAACCAUUGGAAAUGUUAUUGGUAAAAUAGUUGGCAGAAGUAGUCAGAUCUAAGAGUUUGUACUUAUACUUAACAGGAAUCAUCAAGAGAAAUAUUUUUGAGAAUUCAGAAACAUUUAAAUGCUUUGAAGAGAUGUUUAGAAAAUCAAAACGAAUUGAAAAAUAAUUUGCUGUUAUAGAAAUAAUAAAAUAAAGCUGUUUUAGAUGGAGUAAAAGAUGUGAUCAGUUGGAACCUGAUACGAUUUUGAUUAAACCUUUAAUACGAUUUUGAAGCAUAUUAACUUUCUUUGUGUAAAUUUACAUAUUUAAAUACGAAGCAUAUGUAAAUUAUUUCAAAUAGAAGCUGUGUUAAUUUUACAUGAUGCCCUGAACAAGGGGUCCUUAAGGGUCUAGAUACUAACCAGAAAGAGAUAAUUAAAUUACUAAAAUAAAGUAUUGCUUGAUUUGUUGCUGAUUUCCUAAAAAACUUGGUAUAACUCAAAUAAAAAAAACACGAUUAUCUGAUGCA